AUAUGUGAUGAUUUACAUGAAAUCUCAUUUAGCUGAUGGUUUGCUAUUGAGACUUGGAAAUCUGAUUUUC
ensembl:snoRNA SNORD30 Small nucleolar RNA SNORD30